rfam:Triticum aestivum genome assembly, contig: Triticum_aestivum_CS42_TGACv1_scaffold_049831_1BS
UUUUGCAUGAUGAAGAAAAUCGUUCGGAUUCCCACUGAUACUUCAUGAUUAUCACAACCAGCUACUUCUGACAGAC